AUUGGCGCGUAAAAAUCCGUCAUCAAUCAAAUUGUAUUACCUUCUCAAUAUUUAAAAAUAUAUAAUCUAUAAUAUAUUAAAAAUGCAAUUUCCAAUUUGAAAUUGAUUUCGAAUUAAUUCGAAUGGCAAUUUUGUGAAUUGUAGAAAAAUUAAUGUCAUAUUUAUGCAAAAUCCAAAUUAUAAUAUUACUAAAAUUAACCAUCAUAUAACAAAAAAAAAAAAUCAUUCAUUAACUGUCAUUAACUUUUUAAUAUUAAUUUAAGUACAUCCAUGUAAAUAUAUUAUAAUAAGCUAAAAAAAUUGAAAUAAAAAAUGGGUAAAAUUUUAAUAGUUUAACAGGUGAUUUAAAAUUAAUAUACAUAUAUAAUUGCUAUCGAAAUUUAAAAAUUUAUAAUUUCAAGUUCCUUACGCGAUUACAACGUUCAUAUAAUUUUAGGUUCCCUACAUACACUCUUCAUAUAGUUUUAUAUAUAAUUUAAAAUUUCAAAACUAUAAACCAUUUUCCAUGCAUCGCACGGAGGGCAAAUCUAAUUACAAUUACAUCAAGAGUUUUUUCAGCGUCCGCCCCCAUCAUCUAUUAAUUCGAAAACUACAUGGGAUUAAUGAACUCCUACACAUCUAAUUCAAUUUUAAUUAGAGAUUAAAAAGCUCUAAUCGAGAAUUAAAAAAUUUUAAUUGUGAACUAUCAUUAAUUAACCCCUUAAUAAAAAUAUUCAUUAAUAUCUACUACUCAGUGUGCAUGUGUGUUGCAAUAGGUCAAAUUAAUGCGUGAAGAAAAUUAGUAAUAAGUUAAAACUAUAUAUAUGUUUUCAAUUUCUAAAAGUAUAGUGUGAAUAUGAUAUAUUUGACGUACAUGUCGGAAUAAUAUUAGUCAACACUCCAUACACACCUGCCCAGAAAUUUAAAAUGAAAGAACAACCAACUUGACUAACCAAAACUCCCAUAUCAUCAUUGUCUAUAUAGAUGCCUUUGCUAAUUCUCACAUAAAACGGAAAAAAAAUUAAAAUAAAAAACUUCUGAAAAACCUGUGAAAUUAAAAAUGAAGAUGAUGUUUGCUUUGAAGGUUAUAACACUAUCAACAAUUUUUGCUAUUGCUGGAAUUCAGGCCAGAAAUAUUCCAGAUGAUGCAAAAUACAUAUUGGAAAAUGAUAUUCACAGUAUAAAAGGAGACAGUUUACUUACUUGCAAUUCCUUGCCACGCUGGCUAGUGGUGAUCAGUCAUUACGUGCCACGUGUACGGUACGAUGAGCACCACCACUCAACGUCGACUAAUCUUGGAAAAGACGCGGCGCCGGCGCCGCCGCCGCCGCAGUCAGCCACUGGACCCAGGCAGAUUUGUUCAUACACAAAUUCCAUUGAAAUUCAGAAUUUUUCUGAAUAAAAUUAGAAGUUAGCUCUAAUAUAUGUAUACAUCUGUUGAGUUCAGUUUGUUUAAUUAGUUGAGUAUGAAUUUCUUUUGCUGGCGGGAUCAAGUUUAUGUCUUCUGUAACAAAUGCAAGUUUUGUUUAGUUUAAUUUUUGGUAUAUAAGUGGGAGUGGGUCAGAGUUGAUGCCUCUCUGUUUCAUGUUAGAUUAAAAUUGUAUAGUAGUUCAUUUUUUAUAUAUAUAUUUUCCCUUUCAAAA